rnacentral:rRNA from 1 species
UACAGAGGUCUCAACCGUUGUUCGGAUUCAUUGGGCGUAAAGGGUGCGUAGGCGGUCGUGCAAGUCGGAUGUGAAAUCUCAGGGCUCAACCCUGAAACUGCAUUCGAUACUGCGCGGCUAGAGUGCUGGAGGGGAGACUGGAAUUUACGGUGUAGCAGUGAAAUGCGUAGAUAUCAGGAGGAACACCGAUGGCGAAGGCAGGUCUCUGGGCAUUAACUGACGCUGAGGAGCGAAAGCAUGGGGAGCGAACAGG